rnacentral:lncRNA from 1 species
UGCCUCCUUCAUGUGGGGGGGGGCUGUCUUACCAUGGAUAAUUUCAUCUCACGUUUCACGCCUCUCCCCCUCCCUCCUCCUCCUUGCCCUUCUCUCUCCUCUCUCCUCAUCUCCUCUCUUCUCUCCUCUCCUCUCCUCCCCUCUCCUCUCCUCUCUCCCUCAUCUUCUCUCCUCUCUCCUCUACUCGCUGCGACCCCACAGUCCUCCCCUCCCCUCCCCUCCCCUCUCCUCUCCCUCCCCUCCCCUCCCCUCCCCUCUCCUCUCCUCUCCCCUCCCCUCCCCUCCCCUCCCCUCCCCUCUCCUCUCCCCUCCCCUCCCCUCCCCUCCCCUCUCCCCUCUCAUCCCCUCCCCUCUCCUCUCUCUCCCCUCUCCUCCCCUCCCCUCCCCUCUCCCCUCCUCUCUCUCCUCUCCCCUCUCCUCCCCUCCCCUCCCCUCUCCCCUCUCCUCCCCUCCCCUCUCCUCUCCUCUCCCCUCUCCCCUCUCCUCCCCUCCUCUCCCCUCCCCUCUCCCCUCUCCUCUCCUCCCCUCCCCUCUCCUCCCUCUCCCCUCCCCUCUCCUCUCUCCUCCUCUCUCCCUCUCCUCUCCUCUCCCCUCUCCCCUCUCCUCCCCUCCCCUCUCCCCUCUCCUCCCCUCCCCUCUCCUCUCCCCUCUCCUCUCCCCUCUCCCCUCUCCUCCCCUCCUCUCCCCUCCCCUCUCCUCUCCUCUCCCCUCUCCUCUCUCCCCUCUCCUCCCCUCCCCCCUCCUCUCCCCUCCCCUCUCCCCUCUCCCCUCUCCUCCCCUCCUCUCCCCUCCCCUCUCUCCUCUCCUCUCCCCUCUCCUCUCUCCCCUCUCCUCUCUCUCCUCCGCUCCUCGCUGCGCCUCUCAGUCCCCUCCUCCUCCUCCUCCUCCUCCUCUGCCGCUCCAGAGCAUCACCAGGGGGCUCUGAUUGGCUCCUCAGCCAGCGGUGAGCGGAGCGCUGAGCUCCUCAGUGUGGAUGUGUCGGCGGAAGGGGGGGGGGGGGGGGGGGGGGGGGGGUCUGAGUGACUGCUGCUCGAUUGGCUACAACGUCCACCUAGGGCCCUUAGGUACAAUAUGUGUGAGGGGCCCGGAAAGCCGGUGUGACAGCAGGUAUUUCGUCCGCCGUAGCGUUGCA